GAUGAACGCUAGCGGCAGGCUUAAUACAUGCAAGUCGAGGGGCAGCAUAAGUAGCAAUACUUGAUGGCGACCGGCAAACGGGUGCGGAACACGUACGCAACCUUCCUUUAAGUGGGGAAUAGCCCGGGGAACCCGGAUUAAUACCCGUAACUAUUAUGAUGUGGCAUCACAUUAUAAUUAUAGAUUCAUCGCUUAAAGAAUGGGCGUGCGCCUGAUUAGGUAGUUGGCGGAGUAAUAGCCCACCAAGCCUGCGAUCAGUAACUGGUGUGAGAGCACGACCAGUCACACGGGCAC
rnacentral:rRNA from 1 species